rnacentral:rRNA from 1 species
CCUACGGGAGGCAGCAGUGGGGAAUAUUGCGCAAUGGGCGAAAGCCUGACGCAGCGACGCCGCGUGAGGGAUGAAGGUCUUCGGAUCGUAAACCUCUGUCAGCAGGGAAGAACGGUCACUGUGCUAAUCAGCAGUGAAUUGACGGUACCUGCAAAGGAAGCACCGGCUAACUCCGUGCCAGCAGCCGCGGUAAUACGGAGGGUGCGAGCGUUAAUCGGAAUUACUGGGCGUAAAGCGCUCGUAGGCGGUAUGUCAAGUCAAGGGUGAAAUCCCCGCGCUCAACGUGGUAACUGCCUUUGAAACUGGCAAACUGGAGUGUGUGAGAGGAUAGUGGAAUUCCAGGUGUAGGAGUGAAAGCCGUAGAUAUCUGGAGGAACAUCAGUGGCGAAGGCGACUAUCUGGCACAUAACUGACGCUGAGGAGCGAAAGCGUGGGUAGCAAACAGGAUUAGAUACCCCAGUAGUC